rnacentral:rRNA from 1 species
UACGGGGGGAGCAAGCGUUGUUCGGAUUUACUGGGCGUAAAGGGCGCGUAGGCGGCCUCUGCAAGUCGACUGUGAAAUCUCCGGGCUUAACCCGGAAAGGUCAGCCGAUACUGCAGGGCUAGAGUGCAGAAGGGGCAACUGGAAUUCUCGGUGUAGCGGUGAAAUGCGUAGAUAUCGAGAGGAACACCUGCGGCGAAGGCGGGUUGCUGGGCUGACACUGACGCUGAAGUGCGAAAGCGUGGGGAGCAAACAGG